rnacentral:misc_RNA from 1 species
AAUGAAGGUCAAACAAGAAGAGGUUUGUAAAGUCGGUAUCGUAGCAGAGAACGUCAGAUUGCUGAAAAAGACGUCGAUACCUUUACAAUGGUUGCUUUUUGAUCAACUGAAUAAAAAAUCGAGUGCUCAAACAGGGUUUGGGAAUUUAGGUGGUACCACGUGAAAGCGUCCUAUUA